AAGUCGUAACAAGGUUUCCGUAGGUGAACCUGCGGAAGGAUCAUUAACAAAUUUUCCCAACCAACCCCCCCAAACGUAAUGUGAACUGUUAUCAAAGCCCUGCGACGUGGAGUCUCAAGUCUGGCCGAGGCGCUGGGCGUGUGCGGCUGCUCUUGUUCUGCCUGGCAUCAUCGCUAUGCCUAGCAUUAUGAUAGAGUGGUCGACGUGCCUAGCGCCGUGUCUAGGCCUCCAUGUCCACUUAUUUACCACCUCCAAACGACUACCACUAGAACUGAGACUUUAUGAUGAAAAAUAAAGACAACUUUUAGCAACGGAUCUCUAGGCUCUC
rnacentral:misc_RNA from 1 species